UUUGUCGGGAAAGAAUAAACUAGGUUUAAGAAGUACACUCCCACACCACACGCUCUAACUCUCUCAUACAUCUCUGUCUGCCUCUGCUCUCCUCCCGCUCUCUCUGUCUUUCUCUCUCUCUCUCGCUUUUGUCUCCAUCGUUACCGGAGCAUCACCGCCAUCGCACACGAGUACCACCGUCAAUCCCCAGGUAUGUCCUCUCUCUAUCUUUCGGUCUCUCUUCCCCUAAUUUCAGUCUCUAGGGUUUUCUUCUUUCAUUUGCAUACCUUCACACAUACCCGACCCCAAAUCGAUGGGGUUUCUUUUUCUUCCAUUUGUUGAAUUUAUGCUUUUCUUCGUAACUACGAUGGCUCAGAAGCAGUUUGAAACAAUGCCUCUCUCAGUCCAGAACACCAUCUGGGUAUCUCUCAAAACACACAUAUCCAGAUGGGUUCUUCUGUUUUCUCAAUAUCUUUGUAUGUGCAGGUCAAAUUAACGGUUUGGAUUUGAUUCGUAGCUGUGACUCUGCUUUUUAUUAGUUAUUCAUUUUGUUUUAAUAUGAUUUUUAUUGGAUUGGUUUGGAAUGGUGUUUUCUCUGUUUGUGAGGAAAUUUGUGAAGAAAUCUUGUCCCAGUUUGAUUCAAUUGGCUUGAAAACAUGAGUUGUUUUUCGUGCUUUUCGUCCCACAGAGAGAAAUCAGCAAAGAGAUUAAACAGCAAAAAGAGGGAACCUGUUCCUGAUACUAUUGUUCCAAAACAAAAAGAAGCCCCCGCACUGCCACAGCCCAAGAUUCCUAGAAGGGCCCCAGCUGAAGCUCCAAUAAAAAAAGAUGCCCCUAAAGAAGCUGCCAACAAUAUUGCAGCACAAACCUUCACUUUCCGUGAGCUAGCCACAGCAACAAAGAAUUUCAGACAGGAAUGUCUAGUAGGUGAAGGUGGAUUUGGCUUGUGUCUGUCUAUGCCAUCAUCUUCAACCAUCAUGACCGAGAUUAGGUCUAGUCACAUUAACAUAUAAUUGCUAUGGGGUUCCCUGCUGGUGAUAUGAGCUCUGGCUUUUUUGGAUAUGUUGGGGGCCUCUACCGAAACCACAUGGAAGAAGUGAUCAAGUUCUUUGAAACCCAACACAAGAGGUAUGUCAAAUAUUUCAAUGGAGAAAGCCAGCCUGGGCGAAGAAACUAGUGGACCCAACAAUGAUCGAUCGCUAGGCUGUCGUGAACUUUUCAGCUCGCUGCGAUAUCCAUGGCCUUGUUAGGGAUUUGAUCAAAUGUGGAGACAUGAAGGGAAUUGUAGUCAGAUUGUAUCAUUGUUUGAGGGAUUUACCUAUAUUGCCUCACACACAUAUCACCUCCAUGACCUGCUAACACAUUUCCUCCCCUUCUUCUCAGUAAGUUGAGACAAUUUGCAUGUCAAGCAGCAGACAAUGCCUUAAGCCUUGUUUGAAGGCUUUCAAUUUUGGAUUAUAAGUUAGAUGGCUUCUUUCUUGUUGAAAUUUGUAAAAUGGAAUACUCUCUCUGUAGAAUUCAGCUAUGUGCCCCACCUACUUCAACUUCUGUAUACUAUAACCCUAUGAGCUGCUACAAGAAGGUUUUAUUGUAGUGUUGUCACUUGAAGAUGGAAGUGUGGGGUUUGGUGAGAUAUAUAAGGAGUUAACAAGUAUUGCUCAUGUAAACGAUGCAAUUUUUGGAGAUCCAGUGCAGAAGGCAGAAGCAAUGGCAUUUCGUUGAACUUUUGAGGGUAUCUUGUUUUAGGAAAAGUAAUUCCCCAAAAAGGAAAUGCUAACCACCCCAUCUAAUGGGGUAUAUGUGUAAAAAGUAGAUUCGAAUAUGUAGAAAAUGUAUAGAAAUAUAUGAAUUGUGUAUUGAAAUUCUAACCCUUUUGACAUUAUAUGGUCUUUAACAAAAUGCCCAAUGGAAUCUAUCUUUCAUGCCAUUUCCACCUUUCCUUCUGUUGGGAAUAGAGCACAAUUCUCAAAAUGAGCACAAUUCUUUCUUUUGGUUUUGUAGUUAACUGUUAACAAAUGUGUGCUAGUAAUGGCUGUGUUGUAUUACUUAGACACAUUGCUAUUUAAGUGGAUGGUCCAAUUUUUGUCACUUUAAUGUACAUGUAUUUUCUAAAUGGUCCCUUUGGCCAUUAUAUUGGAUUUUACUUUAAUUUUUGAGUUAUAACUUAGAAA